GUUAUCCGGAAUUAUUGGGCGUAAAGGGCUCGUAGGCGGUUUGUCGCGUCUGCUGUGAAAUCCCGAGGCUCAACCUCGGGCCUGCAGUGGGUACGGGCAGACUAGAGUGCGGUAGGGGAGAUUGGAAUUCCUGGUGUAGCGGUGGAAUGCGCAGAUAUCAGGAGGAACACCGAUGGCGAAGGCAGAUCUCUGGGCCGUAACUGACGCUGAGGAGCGAAAGGGUGGGGAGCAAACAGGCUUAGAUACCCUGGUAGCCCACCCCGUAAACGUUGGGAACUAGUUGUGGGGUCCAUUCCACGGAUUCCGUGACGCAGCUAACGCAUUAAGUUCCCCGCCUGGGGAGUACGGCCGCAAGGCUAAAACUCAAAGGAAUUGACGGGGACCCGCACAAGCGGCGGAGCAUGCGGAUUAGUUCGAUGCAACGCGAAGAACCUUACCAAGGCUUGACAUAUACGAGAACGGGCCAGAAAUGGUCAACUCUUUGGACACUCGUAAACAGGUGGUGCAUGGUUGUCGUCAGCUCGUGUCGUGAGAUGUUGGGUUAAGUCCCGCAACGAGCGCAACCCUCGUUCUAUGUUGCCAGCACGUAAUGGUGGGAACUCAUGGGAUACUGCCGGGGUCAACUCGGAGGAAGGUGGGGAUGACGUCAAAUCAUCAUGCCCCUUAUGUCUUGGGCUUCACGCAUGCUACAAUGGCCGGUACAAAGGGCUGCAAUACCGUGAGGUGGAGCGAAUCCCAAAAAGCCGGUCCCAGUUCGGAUUGAGGUCUGCAACUCGACCUCAUGAAGUCGGAGUCGC
rnacentral:rRNA from 1 species